CUAAAUUGACACCAACUAGCCUAUAUUCGAAAGCCAAUUGUUAUAUAAAAAGAGUAAAAAGCCAUGCUUUGAGAAGUCCAGUACACAUGAAGAGGCCCAGGCAGAGAAAGCCAUGAAAAAAAGAGAUCAUCAAGUCUCCAUACGCGUGUGUGAAGAAGCCAUCUUGGAAGUCAAUCCCCAUCCUAGAUUUUUUUCUGGUAUUGCAAUGUCCUUGCAUGUUAAAGAUAAAGUUAAAAAAAGCAAA
rnacentral:lncRNA from 1 species